rnacentral:rRNA from 1 species
CCUACGGGGGGCAGCAGUCGAGAAUCAUUCACAAUGGGGGAAACCCUGAUGGGGCGACGCCGCGUGGGGGAAUGAAGGUCUGCGGAUUGUAAACCCCUGUCAUGUGGGAGCAAAUUAAAAAGAUAGUACCACAAGAGGAAGAGACGGCUAACUCUGUGCCAGCAGCCGCGGUAAUACAGAGGUCUCAAGCGUUGUUCGGAAUCACUGGGCGUAAAGCGUGCGUAGGCUGUUUCGUAAGUCGUGUGUGAAAGGCGCGGGCUCAACCCGCGGACGGCACAUGAUACUGCGAGACUAGAGUAAUGGAGGGGGAACCGGAAUUCUCGGUGUAGCCGUGAAAUGCGUAGAUAUCGAGAGGAACACUCGUGGCGAAGGCGGGUUCCUGGACAUUAACUGACGCUGAGGCACGAAGGCCAGGGGAGCGAAAAGGAUUAGAUACCCGAGUAGUC